GAUCAUGGCUCAGAAUUGAACGCUGGCGGCAUGCCUUACACAUGCAAGUCGAACGGCAGCACGGGAGCUUGCUCCUGGUGGCGAGUGGCGAACGGGUGAGUAAUACAUCGGAACGUACCCUGAAGUGGGGGAUAACGUAGCGAAAGUUACGCUAAUACCGCAUAUUCUGUGAGCAGGAAAGAGGGGGGAUCGCAAGACCUCUUGCUUUAGGAGCGGCCGAUGUCGGAUUAGCUAGUUGGUGAGGUAAAGGCUCACCAAGGCGACGAUCCGUAGCGGGGUCUGAGAGGAUGAUCCGCCACACUGGGACUGAGACACGGCCCAGACUCCUACGGGAGGCAGCAGUGGGGAAUUUUGGACAAUGGGCGCAAGCCUGAUCCAGCCAUGCCGCGUGAGUGAAGAAGGCCUUCGGGUUGUAAAGCUCUUUCGGUGGGGAAGAAAUUGCUUCGGUUAAUACCUGGAGUAGAUGACGGUACCCGCAUAAGAAGCACCGGCUAACUACGUG
rnacentral:rRNA from 1 species